rnacentral:rRNA from 1 species
AUGGCGUCGGAGAAAGACGCGGCGCUCGCCGCCGUGCCCAACGACAACCCCACCAUAUUUGACAAGAUCAUCAAAAAGGAGAUACCUUCUACAGUGGUGUAUGAGGAUGAGAAGGUCCUCGCUUUCAGAGACAUAAAUCCUCAAGCUCCGACCCACAUUGUAAUCAUUCCCAAAGUCAAGGAUGGAUUAACCGGCCUUUCAAAGGCAGAAGAGAGGCAUGUAGAGAUACUUGGCUGCCUCCUCUACGCUGCAAAAGUUAUCGCAAAGCAGGAAGGACUUGAAGAUGGCUACCGUAUUGUCAUCAAUGAUGGCCCUAGUGGAUGUCAAUCUGUUUACCACAUCCAUGUCCAUCUCCUUGGAGGGAGGCAGAUGAACUGGCCCCCAGGCUAA